rnacentral:rRNA from 1 species
UACGUAGGGCGCAAGCGUUGUCCGGAAUUAUUGGGCGUAAAGAGCUCGUAGGCGGUCUGUCACGUCUGCUGUGAAAACCCGGGGCUUAACCCCGGGCUUGCAGUGGAUACGGGCAGACUAGAGGCAGGUAGGGGAGAAUGGAAUUCCCGGUGUAGCGGUGAAAUGCGCAGAUAUCGGGAGGAACACCGGUGGCGAAGGCGGUUCUCUGGGCCUGACCUGACGCUGAGGAGCGAAAGCGUGGGGAGCGAACAGG